rnacentral:rRNA from 1 species
UACAGAGGGGGCAAGCGUUAUUCGGAAUUAUUGGGCGUAAAGGGCGCGUAGGCGGCUUUGCAAGUGACGGGUGAAAUCCCUCGGCUUAACCGAGGAACUGCCUGUCAGACUGCAUGGCUUGAGACCAGGAGAGGUGAGUGGAAUUCCCAGUGUAGCGGUGAAAUGCGUAGAUAUUGGGAGGAACACCAGUGGCGAAGGCGGCUCACUGGACUGGUACUGACGCUGAGGCGCGAAAGCGUGGGGAGCAAGCCGG